CUUCCACUGGGGCGGAUGGGGACGAGGACGGGGGGCUGGGGAGGCUUGGGGCCUCCGGUCAUUCUCUGCUCCAGCCGCUCCCCGGGGCGGGCCCCUGCGCUCCAGGGCGCAACCAGGCGGGUAGCUAAGAGCUGUAGUGGCAGCGGCACAGGCGGCGCAACUCUGGUCUUCGGGGGAAGGGAGGUGGGGCUGGACCGGGUGCGGGCCAGGUACUAACAACGGAACCACUAGUCUACUGGAGUCCUUCGCCAUUUCUCGGGAGAGAACGGGGGCCCUGGAAGCCGAAGUAUGGGAGGCACCGCCGGAACCCAGAGCCGGGAAACGAGCGCUCCCGCCCCUUAGCCUCGUGGCCGGACUAGGUGAUGGUGACGAUGGCAGUGGCAAUGGUCACGUCUCCUACCGCCCGUGGUAUCAAAGAGCAGGCCGUGCCAGUCAGAGAGAGUAGUCGUGUUUUUAAACGCUGGAGAAGCAGAAGGAGGAGUAUGUGUGUUCGGUCCUCUAUUUGAAUCCAUCCGAAUACUUGGGAAAUUCUUCCAUCCACCUAACCAGAAGUUCUCCCUGCAAUUUAAAGUAAGCCAAUUCAGCCUUUUAGAAAAAAAAGGAGUCUCCCUGGAGAGGCAACUGUGUGAUCUUGGGCCAGUCUCCUCCCCCUCCACCCCCCUUCUGUUCAAUUUUCAAUCUAGGGAUUGAACCAAGCAAUCUAGUCUGAAAAAUCCAAUAAAAAGGAGACUGACA